AACGCGAAGAACCUUACCCACCUUUGACAUGUACGGAAUUUGCCAGAGAUGGCUUAGUGCUCGAAAGAGAGCCGUAACACAGGUGCUGCAUGGCUGUCGUCAGCUCGUGUCGUGAGAUGUUGGGUUAAGUCCCGCAACGAGCGCAACCCUUGUCAUUAGUUGCUACGAAAGGGCACUCUAAUGAGACUGCCGGUGACAAACCGGAGGAAGGUGGGGAUGACGUCAAGUCCUCAUGGCCCUUAUAGGUGGGGCUACACACGUCAUACAAUGGCCGGUACAAGGGGUCGCAAACCCGCGAGGGGGAGCUAAUCCAUCAAAGCCGGUCGUAGUCCGGAUCGCAGUCUGCAACUCGACUGCGUGAAGUCGGAAUCGCUAGUAAUCGUGGAUCAGCAUGUCACGGUGAAUACGUUCCCGGGUCUUGUACACACC
rnacentral:rRNA from 1 species